UCCCUUUCACUCAGAAUUAAUUUAAUAUAACAGCAGAUCCGGUUGAAACACUUACAAAAAAAAUUAUGAGAUCUUCAACCUAAUAACACUUACAACAAAAAUUACGCACAACUAGGAAAGAAAUCUAGAAUAAUAGAGCCUUCAAAUAUUUCCUCAUUCUAGGCCUCCCAUAUUCACCAACAUGCCAAAACAAAAACCCUUUGCUAUCGGUAGUGCAAUGCCGCAACCAGUAUUAGCUGUUUUCUGCAUUACUAUUGACUUGAACAUUAAGCAAAUUGGAGGAUGGUUUCUUCACUCCUACCACCUGAAACAAACUAUGUUUGCCCAAGACUAGUAAAAUCCUUCUUCCGAUUCACCAAAUCACUCACUGUAAUAGGGAAUCCCAUAAAAAAAGCCUUUUUGUGGAUCAGCAGACAGUCACCAGCAAAACUGAAGAAAAAAUAAACAAACAUUUAGCUAGAGCAAAAACACAAACUAUAAGAAAUCUGACCAGAUAAUUGAACUAAUUUGGUGGGAUGCACCGGCACUUUGCAAAAGUGCAAAACAAAGACUAUGCAUAAGAAACCAAGUAGCAAGCUACUUUGAUGGUUCUCUCCCUCAAAAAAUUAAUUUAAUAUCGUGUGAACUAAUAGUCCACAUAUCAGAUAUUAAACUGGUAAGAACAGAUACUACACUUGAUCUUAGCCAAAAGGCCGAGAAAAGUAUGAAUUGAAAAUGUCAAGUGUUUAAAUUUUAUAUCUCAAGCUUCAACUGUUUCCUUAAAAAUUCCUUUAAAAAUUUAUUAAAAAAUCAAUACUUCCUCUUUAACAAAAAAAAAAAACAGAGAAAAAUAUGCCAUAAGUAGUUGAAGUGAUCAUUUUUUAUACCCCAAACUUCAUCUACCUGUCAGUGUUCUGACAAAUCUGUGACUUCAUAACUUGAGUAAUGCUCCCAACAUGAUUUCCUGUGAUGAACAGACUUUAAAAUUUAGAAAAGCAGUUGAGUUCAUGUCAUGUCUGAUGAAACUUGAAGCUAAUUACAGUCAUUCCAAAUAUAUUUUACUUGAUAUUGCCGACCAUGUUGAUCCUUCUCCAGUAGGAGUGGUUCAUGCCUGAUUAAGGUUUAACUAAGUAUUUCUUAUAUGAUACGUAUGCUAAGUGUUAAUGGAAAAAAUUCAGAUAUGUUAAACCUUGUCAAUGGAAAAAAGUUGCAGACUAUGUACAGCUUCAAGAAUGGGAACCUGAUUUGUAAUAGGAACCCAAAUAAAUACGAGAGUAACUUUAUCAAGCUCAUCAUUGAUCCCUUGUAGGAGAAAAACCAAGACCAGGACUAAUCUUACUUACAACCUGGGCCUUGCAAGUCUUGGCUGAUCAGAAGAGAAGGUAAUCAUCAUCAAAGAACAAUUGGAAAAUACAUAACUUUUGUUACAAACAAUCUUCAAAGGCAAAAUGUCCUCCUUGGUUUGGUGGAUGAGGAAGGAUAAUUUCAGCAUAAAACAAACAAAUAACUUAGGAAAAUCCAUUUGAUAAGGUAAUUAUGAAACUCUUUUACCUUAUGACAGUCCCAAAGAAACAACUAAUCCAUUAAGAAGAGGAUCCCAGCUUUCAUCUAUCCAAACUAUGCUACGAUAAUUGAAGUAGAAGCUAAAUUUCUUCUUUCUAACUCAUCCACUAAGACUUAAAGCAGAUGGAAGAGAAGUCAUGUACUGCAAACUGGGAUGCUUUCUCUAUUUCUUUCAAAAACAAUUUCCUUCCACUAGCGUUUUUAUGUGCUUGAAAAUUCUUUAUCCACAGAGAAGACAAACACCACCAAAAAACAAAUGAAAUAUACUUCAAUCAUAUUUAGCAAACCUCAGGCUUUAGAAAUUGUAUUCUACAAAAAUUAUAAGCAACAAACCAAUUAGAACAUUAAAAUAAAAAUCAUCAGAAAUAAGACUAAAUAAUUGAACGGUUAGGUAAGAUGCAUCAUAUGCCCUUGCAAGAGUAAAAAACAAGAAACCACAUAGCAUGUUGCUUUGAUGGUCCUCUCCCUAAUUUACAUCCUAAGCUUACGCUGUUUAUCAGUGCAGAGAGUAUAUGUUACGCCUAGUCAACGGAAAAAAGAGAUAUGCAGAUAUCUGUCAUCAUCACUGAUCCCUUUGUAAGCUGGGACUUAAAAUAAAAAUACAUAUUUUUUUAAUCUUCAAAGGCAAUUACAGUUAAAUUAUAUAUAUAUAUAUAUAUAUAUAUAUAUAAAAGCUAAGUGUUGAGAAUUCAGAAAACUACAGAUUAUAAGGCCUUGAGAAAAAGCUGCUCAUAUUCAGGUAACUCUCUUUACUAAAGAAAAAACUAAUGAAAAACAGGUAACUAAGACAUCGGGGAAAAUAACAUUGCAACUGAC
rnacentral:lncRNA from 1 species